GUGACUGUUCCUGGUAUAGAUUGCAUUGUGAGUUGUACAGUGCAACCACAGGCAGUCACACACAUCAAAACACAUGGUUCCUGCCGACAGGAUCUGUACAGUGAUCAGAUUUUCUGUGCGAUGGUUCCGUACAUU
rnacentral:snoRNA from 1 species